rnacentral:rRNA from 1 species
GAUGAACGCUGGCGGCGUGCCUAACACAUGCAAGUCGAGCGAACCCUUCGGGGUGAGCGGCGGACGGGUGAGUAACGCGUGGGUAACCUGCCCUAUACACACGGAUAACGUACCGAAAGGUACGCUAGUACGGGAUAAAGUUGUUGGAUGGCAUCUUCUAACAAUCAAAGCUCCGGCGGUAUAGGAUGGACCCGCGUCUGAUUAGCUAGUUGGUGAGGUAAUGGCUCACCAAGGCGACGAUCAGUAGCCGACCUGAGAGGGUGAUCGGCCACACUGGAACUGAGACACGGUCCAGACCCCUACGGGAGGCAGCAGUGGGGAAUAUUGCACAAUGGGCGAAAGCCUGAUGCAGCAACGCCGCGUGAGCGAUGAAGGUCUUCGGAUCGUAAAGCUCUGUCCUCAAGGAAGAUAAUGACGGUACUUGAGGAGGAAGCCCCGGCUAACUACGUGCCAGCAGCCGCCGUAA